GCUGCUGCAUAUAUGACCAAAGAUAUUCUAUAUUGGCUCCAAAAGGGUGGACGUGAAGAAAUGUGGAGAUGAUACCUAUUAGUAGUGCCUCUUUCUCUGAUUUUAGACCUGGACUUCGUUUCUCAGAAGUUUUUUCUCUGUCUUGGUUGACCAAUGCUACUGUCAGUACAUUGAUUUCAUUUGCCUGAGAUUCAUCAUGCCCAUUGAUUUCUGCUAAUUCCUUGGCGCUUUUUAACUGUUCCUGCAGGACUUUAAGCAUUGCUUGUGUAUGCGUUUGCUCUUCCUUGGCUUGCUCCAGCUCUGAUUUUUUGUUAUUUAAUUCUUCCUGGAUGCUCAGCAAUUGCUGCUGCAUGCCUUGCAUUGUCUGUUGUAGGAACUGCAGCUGCUGAUCCUUUGUAAGGCUUUCUUCUGUUCGAAAGAGCUGUCCUUUCUCUUGCUUCAGAAGCUCCACUUCAUUUCUAUAAGCAUCCAGUUGCCAUCGAAGACUAUCAUUCUCUUCCUUAAGCGCGUAUGCUUGGGCAGCUAGAGCUGAAUCAUCUACUCUCAGCUUUUUACUGGGAUUGUCACCACUGUCAUCAUCAGACAUUUC
rnacentral:lncRNA from 1 species